AAGUCGAACGGCAGGCACGGGGGCUAACCUGGUGGCGAGUGGCGAACGGGUGAGUAAUGCAUCGGAACGUGCCAUUGAGUGGGGGAUAACGUAGCGAAAGUUGCGCUAAUACCGCAUAUUCUGUGAGCAGGAAAGCAGGGGACCGCAAGGCCUUGCGCUCUUUGAGCGGCCGAUGUCAGAUUAGCUAGUUGGUGAGGUAACGGCUUACCAAGGCGACGAUCUGUAGCGGGUCUGAGAGGAUGAUCCGCCACACUGGAACUGAGACACGGUCCAGACUCCUACGGGAGGCAGCAGUGGGGAAUUUUGGACAAUGGGCGCAAGCCCGAUCCAGCCAUGCCGCGUGAGUGAAGAAGGCCUUCGGGUUGUAAAGCUCUUUCAGCAGGAACGAAACGGUGGCCACUAAUACUGGCUACUAAUGACGGUACCUGAAGAAGAAGCACCGGCUAACUACGUG
rnacentral:rRNA from 1 species